AUAGUUUAAAGUUAUUUUUUUCGUUAAAAAACUUUAGUUUGAAAACAUUUUUCUAAGAACAGUGUAGAAUGUGCCGUCUGUUGACAAUCUGUUUAACUAACACGAACGACUGUGGCUGCAGUUUGGUAGAUUCUUUACGCAAGAGUAGUCUGUCACGUGAUUUGCUGCAUGAACAAACUGAAUUACAUCAACUUUCAUCAUCACGGCAAAGGCCAACAAACAAUUAUGACCAGUUUCUACAGUGCCAUCAGGCACAACAUGAU